UUCCUACGGGAGGCAGCAGUGAGGAAUAUUGGUCAAUGGGAGAGAUCCUGAACCAGCCAAGCCGCGUGAGGGAAGACGGCCCUAUGGGUUGUAAACCUCUUUUGUCGGAGAACAAAACCCGGGACGUGUCCCAGACUGCGUGUAUCCGAAGAAAAAGCAUCGGCUAACUCCGUGCCAGCAGCCGCGGUAAUACGGAGGAUGCGAGCGUUAUCCGGAUUUAUUGGGUUUAAAGGGGGCGUAGGCGGACAGUCAAGUCAGCGGUAAAAAUGCGGUGCUCAACGCCGGACAGCCGUUGAAACUGGCAG
rnacentral:rRNA from 1 species